CAGGGAGACAACAAAAUGUAAAUAUUAAUUUUGUCACCUUAGGUCGAUCGGUAUCUCAGAUUCUUAUUAUUUAAGAAUUUCAGUUUCUAAGUUUUUUCUAGGUCACACCCAUCACUUUUUCCUGGGCCAUUAGCUCAGGUGGUUAGAGCGCACCCCUGAUAAGGGUGAGGUCCCUGGUUCAAGUCCAGGAUGGCCCAUAUCUCUAUGUUGGGGGUAUAGCUCAGUUGGUAGAGCGCCUGCUUUGCAAGCAGGAUGUCAGCGGUUCGAGUCCGCUUACCUCCACUGAAUACCACCUCUUACAUAUAGUUGAAGUGGGAAAUUGUUUUGAGUCGUGUCCUAAUUUGCUCUGAGCGAAUCUAGCUUCCUAUUUUAUCCAAGAAAUAAGAUGCUGGACUCAUUGAAUUUUUUUUUCAUUGUUUUCAGAGAACCUUGACAACUGCAUAGAUUAUUUUUAAAGACAAUAAGCAUCUUUAAUGAUGCAGAUUUAUUAUUUGUGCGAAUGCAUUAAAUAACAAUUCUAUUAAGCUGAUGCUUCAAUUAUUGAAGUUAUU
rnacentral:tRNA from 1 species